AGUGAACGCUGGCGGUAGGCCUAACACAUGCAAGUCGAACGGCAGCACAGUAAGAGCUUGCUCUUACGGGUGGCGAGUGGCGGACGGGUGAGAAAUACAUCGGAAUCUACUUUUUCGUGGGGGAUAACGUAGGGAAACUUACGCUAAUACCGCAUACGACCUACGGGUGAAAGCAGGGGAUCUUCGGACCUUGCGCGAUUGAAUGAGCCGAUGUCGGAUUAGCUAGUUGGCGGGGUAAAGGCCCACCAAGGCGACGAUCCGUAGCUGGUCUGAGAGGAUGAUCAGCCACACUGGAACUGAGACACGGUCCAGACUCCUACGGGAGGCAGCAGUGGGGAAUAUUGGACAGUGGGCGCAAGCCUGAUCCAGCCAUACCGCGUGGGUGAAGAAGGCCUUCGGGUUGUAAAGCCCUUUUGUUGGGAAAGAAAAGCAGCAGGUUAAUACCCCGCUGUUCUGACGGUACCCAAAGAAUAAGCACCGGCUAACUUCGUG
rnacentral:rRNA from 1 species